rnacentral:rRNA from 1 species
GUAGGUGGCAAGCGUUAUCCGGAAUGAUUGGGCGUAAAGGGUGCGCAGGCGGUCCAGAAAGUCUGUAGUACAAGGCAUUGGCUCAACCAAUGUAUGCUGUGGAAACUGAUGGACUAGAGUGCAGGAGAGGGCAGUGGAAUUCCAUGUGUAGCGGUAAAAUGCGUAGAUAUAUGGAGGAACACCGGUGGCGAAGGCGGCUGCCUGGCCUGUAACUGACGCUGAGGCACGAAAGCGUGGGGAGCAA